rnacentral:rRNA from 1 species
AUUGAACGCUGGCGGCGUGCUUAACACAUGCAAGUCGUGCGGUAACAGGCGUAGCAAUACGUGCUGACGAGCGGCGAACGGGUGCGUAAUACAUGGGAAUCUGCCCUUUGGUGGGGAAUAACCCGGCGAAAGCCGGGCUAAUGCCGCAUAAGAUCUUCGGAUGAAAGCGGGGGAUCGUAAGACCUCGCGCCGAUGGAUGAGCCCAUGUCGGAUUAGCUAGUUGGNGAGGUAACGGCUCACCAAGGCGACGAUCCGUAGCUGGUCUGAGAGGACGGCCAGCCACACUGGGACUGAGACACGGCCCAGACUCCUACGGGAGGCAGCAGUGGGGAAUAUUGGACAAUGGGCGAAAGCCUGAUCCAGCGACGCCGCGU